GCGUCUUGACAUAAGGCGGAUGUCAAGCUCUGUGUGGAAAAGUGAGUUUUCUAGUGUUUUUUUAACGUUUACAGUCAGAGUUUAUCAACAUUACCAGUCUCAGAUCUGUCAUCGGUUGAUUACAACAUAUUUCCGGUGAGGACUCUGGAAAGCGAUCGCACAAACCUCAACUCGUAAAGGAGGUCCUGCCUCGUUCUGUAAAGGU